rnacentral:rRNA from 1 species
UACGUAGGCAGCAAGCGUUGUUCGGAGUUACUGGGCGUAGAGAGUAUGUAGGCGGUUGCGUAAGUUCGGUGUGAAAUCUCCCGGCUUAACUGGGAGGGUGCGCCGAAAACUGCGUGGCUUGAGUGCGGGAGAGGAGAGCGGAAUUCCUGGUGUAGCGGUGAAAUGCGUAGAUAUCAGGAGGAACACCGGCGGUGUAGACGGCUCUCUGGACCGUAAACUGACGCUGAGAUACGAAAAGCGUGGGUAGCAAACAGG